CUAUUCGAGCGUCAUUACAACCCUCAAGCUAUGCUUGGUAUUCGGUUCUACCUGCAAAGGUAGUCCGUAAAAUCAGUAGCGGUGCUAUUUAGCUCCAGGCGCAGUAAAUAUCUCGCCUCGGAUGUCUAGAUGCGUGCCUGCUAGAAAUCUCUUUUUAACAGGUUGACCUCGGAUUAGGUAGGGAUACCCGCUGAACUUAA
rnacentral:misc_RNA from 1 species